UACGUAGGGUGCAAGCGUUAAUCGGAAUUACUGGGCGUAAAGCGUGCGCAGGCGGUUUUGUAAGUCUGUCGUGAAAUCCCCGGGCUCAACCUGGGGAUGGCGAUGGAGACUGCAAGGCUAGAGUUUGGCAGAGGGGGGUAGAAUUCCACGUGUAGCAGUGAAAUGCGUAGAUAUGUGGAGGAACACCGAUGGCGAAGGCAGCCCCCUGGGUCAAAACUGACGCUCAUGCACGAAAGCGUGGGGAGCAAACAGG
rnacentral:rRNA from 1 species